rnacentral:rRNA from 2 species
AGUCUGAUGGAGCAACGCCGCGUGAGUGAAGAAGGCUUUCGGGUCGUAAAACUCUGUUGUUGGAGAAGAAUGGUCGGCAGAGUAACUGUUGUCGGCGUGACGGUAUCCAACCAGAAAGCCACGGCUAACUACGUGCCAGCAGCCGCGGUAAUACGUAGGUGGCAAGCGUUAUCCGGAUUUAUUGGGCGUAAAGCGAGCGCAGGCGGUUUUUUAAGUCUGAUGUGAAAGCCCUCGGCUUAACCGAGGAAGUGCAUCGGAAACUGGGAAACUUGAGUGCAGAAGAGGACAGUGGAACUCCAUGUGUAGCGGUGAAAUGCGUAGAUAUAUGGAAGAACACCAGUGGCGAAGGCGGCUGUCUGGUCUGUAACUGACGCUGAGGCUCGAAAGCAUGGGUAGCGAACAGGAUUAGAUACCCUGGUAGUCCAUGCCGUAAACGAUGAAUGCUAGGUGUUGGAGGGUUUCCGCCCUUCAGUGCCGCAGCUAACGCAUUAAGCAUUCCGCCUGGGGAGUACGACCGCAAGGUUGAAACUCAAAGGAAUUGACGGGGGCCCGCACAAGCGGUGGAGCAUGUGGUUUAAUUCGAAGCAACGCGAAGAACCUUACCAGGUCUUGACAUCUUUUGAUCACCUGAGAGAUCAGGUUUCCCCUUCGGGG